UACGUAGGGGGCUAGCGUUGUCCGGAAUCAUUGGGCGUAAAGAGCGUGUAGGCUGCUCGUUAAGUCCGCUGUAAAAGUCAAAGGCUCAACCUUUGAAUGUCAGUGGAUACUGCCGGGCUAGAGUCCGGAAGAGGCGAGUGGAACUCCUGGUGUAGCGGUGGAAUGCGCAGAUAUCAGGAAGAACACCAACGGCGAAGGCAGCUCGCUGGGACGGUACUGACGCUGAGACGCGAAAGCGUGGGGAGCGAACAGG
rnacentral:rRNA from 1 species